CUUACUUCUCAAUGCGAAGUUUCAAAUUUGGGUGGGUUCGUUUCGGGGCGUGGGUUUGGACGCUGUCGUUUGGAAUAUGAAAAAGAGAAUCUCUGUGCUUUGUAGUUGCAUCUCACCGUUGGGGAAUUGUUUGAGAGUGGAGAGGCGUUGCCACCUGACGGUGUUAGUUUAAUAUGGAGGAUCUGCUUCAUAGUGUUGUUGCUCUGGAGAGAAGUUGCACCUUGCUCAGUUCUAUUCAAUUAUUUCUCGUUUAGCAGCACUCAACAACGAACUUCAACUCUCCGGAACAACUCAACAGGAUUCAAAUGUUCACAGAUUAUUCGGAAACAAAUCUUUGAUUCUGACAAAAUUUAGCUAUUUCUGAGGAGAAAAUUAGCGACAACGUAUUUGAUAAACACUCUUAGCGGAGUGUCGUGCUACCUCCAACGAAACUCUCACCUCCAGCAAUGUUUCUAAGUUUAUAUUUUUGCAGCUGGAUAAAGUUUUAUGGACGAAUUGACGUACUAUGCACAUAAUAAAGAUAUCGAGUCUAAGAUCCAAAUCUUUCAAGAA